CUACGGAGGGUGCAAGCGUUAAUCGGAAUUACUGGGCGUAAAGCGUACGUAGGCGGCAAGUUAAGUUAGAUGUGAAAGCCCCGGGCUCAACCUGGGAACUGCAUUUAAAACUGGCUUGCUAGAGUUGAGUAGAGGGGAGUGGAAUUUCAGGUGUAGCGGUGAAAUGCGUAGAGAUCUGAAGGAACACCAGUGGCGAAGGCGACUCCCUGGACUCGAACUGACGCUGAGGUACGAAAGCGUGGGUAGCAAACGGGAUUAGAAACCCUAGUAGUCC
rnacentral:rRNA from 1 species